rnacentral:rRNA from 1 species
AACGAACGCUGGCGGCAUGCCUAACACAUGCAAGUCGAACGAGACCUUCGGGUCUAGUGGCGCACGGGUGCGUAACGCGUGGGAACCUGCCUUUAGGUUCGGAAUAACUCAGAGAAAUUUGAGCUAAUACCGGAUGAUGUCUUCGGACCAAAGAUUUAUCGCCUUUAGAUGGGCCCGCGUUGGAUUAGCUAGUUGGUGGGGUAAAGGCCUACCAAGGCGACGAUCCAUAGCUGGUCUGAGAGGAUGAUCAGCCACACUGGGACUGAGACACGGCCCAGACUCCUACGGGGGGCAGCAGUGGGGAAUAUUGGACAAUGGGCGAAAGCCUGAUCCAGCAAUGCCGCGUGAGUGAUGAAGGCCUUAGGGUUGUAAAGCUCUUUUACCCGAGAUGAUAAUGACAGUAUCGGGAGAAUAAGCUCCGGCUAACUCCGUG